GGACAUCCUUUAACCAUCUCUUUAUUUGUUCGUUUGUUUUUCUUUUGCAGAAGAGGAAGAAAACCAAACCACGGCCACCUCCGAUGGAUGCAGUUCUGCACCAAUCCCAGCCAGGGAAGAGGGAUAGAAAGAAGCAUCCCUAGUUCAGAAGGGGAAAUAAAGAACAUUGGAACAUGCAGGCUUUGAACUUAGCACAGCUGAGAGGGUUCUGUUCUCUAAGCUGGAAUGUGACCUACACCACGGCGCGUAAGAACUGCCUAGAUGCGCGUGUGCCUGCAACGCACGGUCACGAUGCAAACUUGAGAAAACAAACACAAUCUGACCCAGGAUCUGCGUAGAGACAGUGAGGGCUCGACAGAGAUAGGUUACACCUCCCCAGGCCUAGGGUGGGCUAGACUUUUCCCGCCUAUGAGGAAUUGCCUGGUCAGGAAGAGAUUAAUGUCAUUGUCUUCUACCUGCAAUGCUUUGAGUGGCUCUGGAUGACUGGCUGGCUUGGCUGUAUAACUCCAAGGCAAGGAUGAAAGUCUGGGGGAUCCAGGGAGGAAAGGAGCUCCCUCACUGCACACAUGGAUGCUAGAGGCCCCGGCUGUCUUGCAGAAGGAAAUUAUGCCAUCCCGCUGGCCUGACCCUAUCCCAGAGGGCUCCGCCAACCGAUUUCAUCCACUUCCGGGGGUCAGGCAGCCCUGGAAGGCGACUCACUUAACAACAGAGAUUCAUGCUGCGCAUCUCACGCCACCACAACUGUGCUUCGAACCAAGCAGUUAAUACAGUCUCAGCAGAAUCCCUCUUAGUGCAUCUGCUCUUCCCACUCCCUGUUGACACCUGACCGGCGGCCACCUGUGUCCGAUGAACAGGGCAUUUGUAAAUGACGACUUCCCAUCAGUCGAAUUAAUAAGGGGGAUUUCCGUCACUGGCCCACAAGUUCAAGGUGGCGUGAUCAGAAGAUGUGAUGUUGGAUGAGCACAAAAGCCACAAGAACGGCCCAGUAUUUGCAAGAGGUUCCAUUCGAAGACUUGUUUCCUUUCCAAAAUAAAAACAGUGACUAGCAUGUGGAGAGC